AACGAACGCUGGCGGCAUGCUUAACACAUGCAAGUCGCACGGGAACCUGGGGCUUGCUCCAGGGGAGAGUGGCGCACGGGUGCAUAACACGUAGGUAAUGUUCCCGUUGGUUUGGAAUAA
rnacentral:rRNA from 1 species